AACGAACGCCGGCGGCAGGCUUAACACAUGCAAGUCGAGCGCCCCGCAAGGGGAGCGGCAGACGGGUGAGUAACGCGUGGGAAUCUACCCAUCUCUACGGAAUAACGCAUGGAAACGUGUGCUAAUACCGUAUACGUCCUUCGGGAGAAAGAUUUAUCGGAGAUGGAUGAGCCCGCGUUGGAUUAGCUAGUUGGUGGGGGUAAAGGCCUACCAAGGCGACGAUCCAUAGCUGGUCUGAGAGGAUGAUCAGCCACACUGGGACUGAGACACGGCCCAGACUCCUACGGGAGGCAGCAGUGGGGAAUAUUGGACAAUGGGCGCAAGCCUGAUCCAGCCAUGCCGCGUGAGAGAUGAAGGCCCUAGGGUUGUAAAGCUCUUUCACCGGUGAAGAUAAUGACGGUAACCGGAGAAGAAGCCCCGGCUAACUUCGUGCCAGCCGCCGCCGUAACAC
rnacentral:rRNA from 1 species